UCCUGGGUGCUUCAGGUUAGGCCAAGGGUGUCCGGGAACCAGAGCCAGCCAGCCCGCUCUGUGCUGGUGGUCAGCCUGUGCAGUUUUCUCCACCUCAGCGCCAGGUGCUGACAGCUGUGCCAUUCCACGCACCUUUGAGGCAAAGAACUGCCGAAACCAGGGCCAAGUUCAGAGCCAGAGAAUGCUUCCUGAGGCUGUGAGGAGAGGCCUGGAGGGGCUGCCCGAGUGUUACAUAAGCUGGAUGUUAGCACCGCUGAUGCACAGAGCUCCGAAUUGCACAACUCUUACGCAGAAGCACUUGUUAAGUGUUGCAACAUGACUCCCCAUCCUUAUCAAAAUGUGAAACAGACACCCAGCACACACUUCGAAAACACUAAAGCUCUUUUCCAGCAGAUGGUUAAGACUGCUGAUCCAGCUGACAGGAGAGAAGCGGCGCAGGGGCAUGACUUACUGUAGCUCUUGGCCCGGGAAGCUGAACACUCAGUACCCUGUACCCCACUAGCCUUGGGCAGCACAGGACUCUGAUAAAAUGCUGGUAAAAUCAUCACUGAGAAGCCCGUGUGUUCUGACCUUGAGCAGAGGCUGAGUUGUCACACCGUUCUUGCUGUCUACUGUUGCUGCCACGUGGGAGAAGCUGGCUGGAAAGGGCCCCGAGAGCAGGGUGCCAGGAGGUGGCACGGGUUUUCACACACUGCAUUCCCACAACCCUUUCAGAGGACUGUUAGGCAACCGUCAGAGGUUAUGAAGUUGGAACAGCAUCCUCCCCGGAUAGGUCAUUUUUCCUGCAGGACAGCUUGUAGGCAAAUUUUAUUAAGUAUCAAGUAGCUGAUCCAAAGCAGUAUAAAUAGCGAGAGAGAGCAUGUGACGAACCCAGAACUGAAUGUGGUCCAAUCCCGGGCUGAGUGCGUGUGAUGUGUUUACUGUCAGCAGCACCUGCGCGGAGACGUUUGCCCAGCUACUGUCCAGGAAAGGUGUUAGAGCACAGAAAUGGGGAUAUUAAGGUUGCGUCUUAGAAACUAAUUUUAUCCCCACUUAGGAAGUUCGCUGACCAUGCAGUUACCAAGAAAAGGACGUGUGAAUAGGCUAGAUGUGCUUAAGUGUCAUUGAAGAGAAGUAGAGACUAAUGGUUAUAAAACAGGCUAAGUUCAUGCAGGACCGAGACCAAAAGGGCCACAUGCAUUCAGAGGCCUGAGCGACCACGAAGGGCUGAAGCCAUGGAGAAGUGCCUCACCGAGAGUGUGGGGCACGGGUGGGCCUGUCCUUUCCCCAGACGCACCCUCUCUCCCCCGAUUGUUUGCUCCUUUCCCAACAGUCGCUCUCCACUUUUUUAAAUUAGUAAAACGACCCCAAAGUGGCAAUGUGCCUGGCUAAAAACUACAUUUCCCAGCCUCCAUGAGAUCUAAGGACAUGUUAUUGGGUGUGCAAUGUUGCCAGAUAAAGUAUGGUCUGCCCAGUUAAUUUUUAGUUUCAGAUAAACAAGAAAUAAUUUUUAAUAUAAGUAUGUCCCAUGUAACAUAUUAGUAUUUUUAUUUGCCAAAUCUGGCAAUUCUAUGGGUGAAACGUCUGGAAACAAGGUAGGAUACUCUUUUUGCCCUCUCCCCCCCCUCUCUUUCCUUCCUGGGACAUGGAUGGAAUGGCUUGGAUUUCAGCAACCAUUUUGGAUCCUGAGGUUAGAUGGCAGAAGAGGAAGACAGAAAACUUGGGUACCUAAUGGCCGCACACCUUCUGACUUCAUAUGUGACAAGAAACCACUGAUUUGCUUUAGCCAUGAAUAAUACCUGUUAUUUGUACCCAAUUGCUAUUCCUAACUGAUGUAGCCAUAAUAAAACGUGCUCUGUUAUUUUUGGUGUUAACUCUGCCAUCUUUGCCUUUGCCUCUUAACAACAUAGACCACUUUUUUUUUACUUACUAUAUAUUUUAAGGACCCCAAGAGGGAAUGGAUGGUGUUCCCCAUACUCUUUAAAAUGACAGCUCUUAGCAUGAGUUUCUACACAACAUUAUGCCUAACUAUUUUGCAAAUAACAUUUAGGUAUUUUGAGUAAUUGCUUCAGGUAAUAAUAAUAACAAUAACAUUUCUGAAGCAGAACAGUUCUUAUCUCCGAACAAAGAUUUGGCAUAAAAACUCAAGUGCUGUGAAAUGAUGUUCCAGAAAUCCAGAGCCACAUUUCAAAACAGUAAAAAUCACAUUUGAGGUUUGACAUCCUGCUUUAAGAAAGUUUCAUUUUAUAUAGUUUAAGUCUUCAUUAGUCCUUAUAUCAUCAGAUUCCCUUACAUGCUAUAAAGAUCAGCUAAGGAUAGUCAUGAGCACAGGUAAAGCUAAUUUGCAAAGCUCCAUCAGUAUUCAGGAAUGAUGUAGAACCAAACUCCAUCAGCCUUAUUAGCAGAUCUACUGCUCUGCAUGUGAGGCAUUCCGGGGAACCGAGGGAGUCAUAGAAUUGGCCUCUUUACAUAUAAGUGCAAGCUAACUAGCUUAGCUACUUGUUAUGCAGAGGAAAAAAAAGUUCCCCAGGCUGUGAACUAUGUAAAUACCUGCCCUUCGUUUUGCAGUGGAAUCUUUCAAAGGUUAAGUAAUAGUAAAUAAUCAACUAAGAUUUCUCAGAUUGGCUGCAUUUACUAGUCUCUGAAAGAAUAUUUCCCCUGUGAAGACAAAAUAACUUGGGAAUAAGAGCAGUAUUUCCUGCUUAAGACAUUCAGAGAACAAGAUCAGGCCCGGCCUGACUGGCAGAAGCUGCCUGGGGCAGACAGCUAGAUUUGCUGUGUGGGUGAAGGGAGGUAAGUUAGAAUUUAACAGAAGGGAGGGGAAGAAAACUCCCAUUUCAUUUUGUAAGUUUCUGCACAGGCCUUUCAGCAACAUUCAUCAGCAAGAAAGAGGCAGGCAGUGCCUUGCUCCAUCUGCAUCGUGGGGGUGCAGAGAGUUGGGAGUCAACUCCCAGAAGGUGGGUUAUAUCACAAAGGAACAAGUAACACAAGUUACACACAAAUGGAGAAAGAAUAACUCAGAAGAGCUGGCCUGAUGUUUGGGGACAGGCCAUGAUGUCAUAAUGGUUAGCUCAGGAGAGGUGACAGAUGAGGCCAUUUGCAUGCAUCUCUAUUACAGAUGUGAAUAAAAGUUGGACUGAAGUGAGCUGGGGAAAAAA